rnacentral:rRNA from 1 species
CGGCGCACGGGUGCGUAACACGUAUGCAAUCUACUCUAUAUUGGGGGAUAGCCUUUUGAAAGGAAGAUUAAUACCCCAUGUGAUUUACCUAAGGCAUCUUAGGUUUCUCAAAGGUUUACCGAUAUAGAAUGAGCAUGCGUCUGAUUAGCUAGUUGGCGGGGUAACGGCCCACCAAGGCGACGAUCAGUAGGGGAUCUGAGAGGAUGACCCCCCACACGGGUACUGAGACACGGACCCGACUCCUACGGGAGGCAGCAGUAAGGAAUAUUGGUCAAUGGAGGCAACUCUGAACCAGCCAUGCCGCGUGCAGGAAGACGGCCCUAUGGGUUGUAAACUGCUUUUAUAAGGGAAUAAACCUUCGUUUGCGAACGAAGCUGAAUGUACUUUAUGAAUAAGGAUCGGCUAACUCCGUGCCAGCAGCCGCGGUAAUACGGAGGAUUCGAGCGUUAUCCGGAUUUAUUGGGUUUAAAGGGUGCGUAGGCGGUUUAUUAAGUCAGUGGUGAAAGUCAACAGCUUAACUGUUGAAUUGCCAUCGAUACUGGUAAACUUGAGUAUGGAUGAAGUGGGCGGAAUGAGUCAAGUAGCGGUGAAAUGCAUAGAUAUGACUCAGAACACCAAUUGCGAAGGCAGCUCACUAAGGCAUA